CUUGCAAACUAUUUUUUUCCUCUUUGUGUGUGCAAACAAUUUAUUUGCACUUUUUUGUCUUUGCAAAUAAUUUUUUUAAGAAUUUUCCAUCCCCCCCCUCCAAAAAAAUAAUGGUCCGUUCCUUAGAUCAGCCAAAAACAUAACUAUUAUGUAUAUAAAAGAUUGUUCAACUUCAGAACUUUGCUCAAGAAAAAUUGGUCAGCAG